ensembl:lncRNA
GUGGAGACCAGGGCAGGGGCAGUUUAAUGCUGGCAUGGGGAGUAGUUCCACCAAAAGGGAGGGUUUGGGUUUAGGAAUUUGGGCUUGUCCACAGUACCAAUAUUGGCAAUGUCUAAAACCUGUUCUCUCAUUUCCAGAGUCAGAGCUCCACCUGUUCCAGCGAGAUUGUACUUAAAGGUUCUCAAGAUUUAGCUCAUCUUUAAUUGCUGCUGUCUCAAUUAAACUGCAUCUGUGAUAAUAACAGCCCCCCGGAGCCCCAACAGGAACUUAAACACACUGUAUUGGAACCCAUUUGAAAUCUGAAUUCUGUCUGUAUUCUGGAAAUCAUCCUAUCCAAGGAAUCCUGAAUGUCUGAAGCGUCCAGCUGGACCAGAGCAGAGGCCCACCUGUGCCACCCCUCUCUCACUGUCCAUGGCAGGGGAGGAUGGUUCAUUUAGGGACCACCAUGCAGGCCAACAGUCUGUCACCUUACACUUCCAGGACUGUACAGCAGUGUGUCCUGACUCAGGAAGUGGCACCCAGGUGAGAGCCAGCACUGGGAGUACAGCUGCAGUCCCUGCUCAUGCACAGGAUGCACAGGAGUGUGGCACCAUCAGAUCUGCCCAGGCACUGGGAGCAUGCAGGGUACUGGCAGCAGUGUGAGAUGUGCCCAGGUCUGGGUAAACUUCUCAAACACUGCUGUAAUAAAGGAUUUCAACAUUCAGUGUCCA